GACGAACGCUGGCGGCGUGCUUAACACAUGCAAGUCGAACGGAAAGGCCCUGCUUUUGUGGGGUGCUCGAGUGGCGAACGGGUGAGUAACACGUGAGUAACCUGCCCUUGACUUUGGGAUAACUUCAGGAAACUGGGGCUAAUACCGGAUAGGAGCUCCUGCUGCAUGGUGGGGGUUGGAAAGUUUCGGCGGUUGGGGAUGGACUCGCGGCUUAUCAGCUUGUUGGUGGGGUAGUGGCUUACCAAGGCUUUGACGGGUAGCCGGCCUGAGAGGGUGACCGGCCACAUUGGGACUGAGAUACGGCCCAGACUCCUACGGGAGGCAGCAGUGGGGAAUAUUGCACAAUGGGCGGAAGCCUGAUGCAGCAACGCCGCGUGCGGGAUGACAGCCUUCGGGUUGUAAACCGCUUUCGCCUGUGACGAAGCGUGAGUGACGGUAAUGGGUAAAGAAGCACCGGCUAACUACGUGCCAGCAGCCGCGGUGAUACGUAGGGUGCGAGCGUUGUCCGGAUUUAUUGGGCGUAAAGGGCUCGUAGGUGGUUGAUCGCGUCGGAAGUGUAAUCUUGGGGCUUAACCCUGAGCGUGCUUUCGAUACGGGUUGACUUGAGGAAGGUAGGGGAGAAUGGAAUUCCUGGUGGAGCGGUGGAAUGCGCAGAUAUCAGGAGGAACACCAGUGGCGAAGGCGGUUCUCUGGGCCUUUCCUGACGCUGAGGAGCGAAAGCGUGGGGAGCGAACAGGCUUAGAUACCCUGGUAGUCCACGCUGUAAACGGUGGGUACUAGGUGUGGGGUCCAUUCCACGGGUUCCGUGCCGUAGCUAACGCUUUAAGUACCCCGCCUGGGGAGUACGGCCGCAAGGCUAAAACUCAAAGGAAUUGACGGGGCCCCGCACAAGCGGCGGAGCAUGCGGAUUAAUUCGAUGCAACGCGUAGAACCUUACCUGGGUUUGACAUGGAUCGGGAGUGCUCAGAGAUGGGUGUGCCUCUUUUGGGGUCGGUUCACAGGUGGUGCAUGGCUGUCGUCAGCUCGUGUCGUGAGAUGUUGGGUUAAGUCCCGCAACGAGCGCAACCCUUGUUCACUGUUGCCAGCACGUUAUGGUGGGGACUCAGUGGAGACCGCCGGGGUCAACUCGGAGGAAGGUGGGGAUGACGUCAAGUCAUCAUGCCCCUUAUGUCCAGGGCUUCACGCAUGCUACAAUGGCCGGUACAGAGAGUGGCGAGCCUGUGAGGGUGAGCGAAUCUCGGAAAGCCGGUCUCAGUUCGGAUUGGGGUCUGCAACUCGACCUCAUGAAGUCGGAGUCGCUAGUAAUCGCAGAUCAGCAACGCUGCGAUGAAUACGUUCCCGGG
rnacentral:rRNA from 1 species